CUUUGUUGACAGAACUUUCCUAGACAUGCAAAAAUACACACUACUUACAAUAGACUGUCUCCUAAGUAUAAAUGGUCGUCUCCACCGUAUUUGUGAACAGUACCGUAUAUAGGAAUAAUACCGUAUACGUGAAUAGUGCCGUAUCCCCCCAAGUACGAACCGUCGGCUUUGAUACCACUUGUUGCGGAAACGUAGGUUGAGCAAUUACUAAUACUGCAACUUCUGGAGAAAUAUAAAUGUGGUGGUAAACAAAUACAAAUAAAAACACAAUGAUUUACGUUGUUCGGCGUAAUGCCUACAUCCACGGGCAAAGACUGGAAGACAAUUUUAUUAACAAUGGGACUUUACAAAAGUGGGAAAAACUCACAAAACCCACAACCCCAAUACACUCAAAUGAAAACUCACUAAAACACUCAAGUGGAAGCUCUCUUAAAUUCUCUCAAAGAACUCACUUGCAAUUGCUCUCUACUUCUCUC
rnacentral:lncRNA from 1 species